GCUACUUGCAUCAUUGUAGAUAUGAUGUAAGAUCGACUAUGUUGAAUAAAAUUCUAGGUAGAAUUAUGAUAAUGACAUUGUCUGCCUAUGUGUCUUGACCAAAUUACGUGCCAGCAGUCGCGGUAAUACGUAGAAGACUAGUGUUAUUCAUGUUUAAUCGGUUUAAAGGGUACCUAGACGGUAGAUCAAGCUUUCUAAUAAAUGAAAAGGACUAAUUUACUAGAGUUACUUAUGAGGGGGUAUUAAAGUACUGCUGGUGUAGAGAUGAAAUUCUGUCAUACCUCUUUUCAAAAGAAAAACCAUGGCACAGGUAUAGGCGAAGGCAUCCCCUUAUGUGAUAACUGACGUUGAGGGACGAAGGCUUUGUGUAGCGAACAGGAUUAGAUACCCCAGUAGUCGAAGCAGAAAAUGAUGAAUGUCAUAGAUUAGAUGUAUAAGUUUAUUCUAUAAAUGAAAGUGUAAGCAUUCCACCUCAUGAGUAAUUUGGCAACAUUGGAACUGAAAUCAUUAGACCGUUUCUGAAACCAGUAGUGAAGUAUGUUGUUUAAUUUGAUGAUCCGCAAAAAACCUUACCACAAUUUGAAUAUUUAUAUUUUUUUUAUUGUUUUUUUCUUAAGAGAUAAAUAAUUAAAGAAAAAAAUCAAAAAAGGAAGAAAAUUAAGAAAGAGGCAAUAAGAUAUAUUUACAAGCGUUGCACGGCUGUCUUCAGUUAAUGUCGCGAGACUUUGGUUAGUUCCAUUAAAUUAACGUAAACCCUUACUUUAUUUUUAUAUAGAGUAGUUCCCCGCUAUA
rnacentral:rRNA from 1 species